UUCCUAGUUUCCUUAUUUAAACGGAAAUCGACAGUGCGAAUUUCGGUUCCCACAGCUUCUUGAGUGAGGAGAGUCAAUUCCCUCUCCCGGGGAGCCCGUUGCAGGUGGAGAGAGGCGAGAUUCCAGAGCUCUUUGGUUAUUUUGCGGAGAGUUGUUGCGAGGCGACCUCGGGUAUAAAUUACGGUCUCGACUUUAGUGCUCUGAAAAGGCCAUGUCCCUAGGAGCAGCUGUUGAGUGGGAAUCCCCACUAAAUGUACCUCGUUCCUUGUGUGUAGGUGGGUUUCUGCGGUGAGAUGUAUUCUCAACGUUUCCAUGGGACCAGUCCCUGCCAUGUCUGUUGUUUGGGAGGCUGUCUCUUUGGUAGUUCUUUUGGUGUUGGAAGCGCUGGAUCGAAUAUCUACCACUGGAGUGAUCAGCUCGGUCUGGUUGAUCAUUUAUGGAGUAUGGUCUGUAUCGGUUAUCCCUUCAAGGGGAGUGUCGAUUUGGGCCUCCAGUGUAGUUGUGUUCCGCAUGUUUAGUUCCUUCCUUGUUGGUAACUGAAGUAAGACUUUUUUGAGAGUCCUUCUGAGCUGGAAGGCGCUCUUUGUUUUGAUGUUUCGCCUCAAGGCAAUCUCUGAUUUCAUGGUCCAGUCUUCCACAAUGUAAGCAAUGCUUUUCGAGGUUUUCAUAGACUAGUGUGGCAGUAACCUCGUCUCCAUUUGGAUACUCAAUAAUAGAUGUUUUAAUAAGUGGGAGCAUGCCAUUAACAUGAACUCUCAUGCGAAUAGAAUGGGGCGUGAUUUCUGCCACUUCGAAUGUUCCUAAGUCGCUGCCUAUGCCGCGAGCAACUUCCUCUGUCCAGAGGUGAAUUAGAAUUCCUUGAAUCUUGAUCCAAAAGAGAAUCAUUGAGGGAAAGCUAGGAGAGGUAGUAGGUUCCCACCUCUGCAGGAUUAUCAUCCAACGAGCAUAGUGAUAUGGGCCUUUUUCCAACACCGUAAGUAGAUCGGAUUCCAGCUCGAAUUGGAAUUUAAACAAUCCCAUUCCAAGGUCAGAACCAAUAGGUGGUAUGUCGACCUUCCAGUGGUCAGUGAAGAAUGGUAUAAGAGACAUACUUUCUGCGCAGAGGGGUUAGUUACUCUACCAAUCAGUGUGAGAGAGUGCCUCCUAGUGUCCAUUUGAUUGUCCGGUUUGGAGACCCGAACACGUCCAACGCGAGGUGCAGGUCGGUGUUCUAAGGCCACUGCCUUCCCUUUAUCUGAAGAAGAUAGUCUCCGUUGCAUUGUUCAAGAAGAUUGAUGCUAUCUCAAUGUUGUCGGUGUGAGAAGAGUACUCCAAACGUUGAGUUCCCGAAGAAAUCUGGUUCAGAUUGAAGUUCACCCGAGGAUAUAUGGCGAUGUCUUCUAGAUUAGUAGUAGUUAAGAAUCUUGAAUAGCCUUGAAACAGAGGAAAGCCAGCCCAAAUUUGUCAAACCCGUAGACACCGGUAAGCUUCAGGACAGCAGUCUGUUGGAAGGGAGGAGGCUUAGUAGUCCAACGGUCCAAACUGUGAAGGAGUCAUCCAAGGUCUGGUUGUCUGCCAGUAGGUUGGUAAGGUUGUCGUAUUGUUGUCAUAAAGGUUUCCGGCGGGAAGGAGAAGCGGCGGCGGUCCCUCCGACCCGAGUCGGGGGAAGAACUCGAAGGGUAAUAUUACACGACGUUCUAAGACCUGGUGAGUAAAGACAGAAGGGUGAAUAUUUUUAAAAAAUAGCAGACCUUUGACAGUAGAUCUAAUCCAUAACCGGUAAGAACCGCUGGUUAAUAGGAUAUUCUACAAAAGUCAAAAACGGGUAAGGACCUAUCCAAGGACCUAUCAAAAACGUUUUGAGUGCUUUUUUUUUAUCGAUUUUAUUACUAAACCACAAUUUGUAUAUCCAGUAAGAUAAACGAUUACGUAAGCAUAUUAAAGUCCUCAUAAGAUUAUAAACACUACGUAGAUAUUGGGGUCUUUGACAUAUAUAUACACGUUUACUAACAUACACUGUAACGACCCAAAUCUCGGCCCAGAAAACUUUAGCCCAGUAAGACCCAAUUACAUUGCAGAAAACCCUAAAGUUUUCUUAUUUAAGAUGGAAUUUCGUGGUGGCCUCUGACAGAGACUUUUAGGGAUGGCAAAGCCCUGCCGGAACAUCACUGAAACAGCCACAAAUAGCCACCAUGAAAGAGAAGCCAUCCCACCAUCCAGAAAGAGAGGUUAGAGCUCAGCAGACACGUUUUGGGAGAACAGAAGAACGAUCGAUCAAAUAUGAGUAUUUCGAAGCUAAAUUUUGAGAUCGGAUCCGCGAACAGUCAACUUCAUCAGCGUUUUACCGUUGAUACAGAAGGAACCAGGGAACGGGCGAGAUAUCAUUGGAAAGAUCUAGAUCCCAGCUUUUCAGAUCAUCUAUCCGAUCGUCAAUUCGACGUACGGGUAGAAAGUUAUUGACGUUUCUUCUUGGCGAAGAAUAAAGCUGUUGAGUUGCAGAGACAGUUCCGACCAGUCUCGGUGUAAGUGAGAAAAGGUCUACGGAAACAAAAUCUUUCAGUCUGGAAAUUUGUCAGUGUUGGUGCAGUCUACGUUUGCGACCAGUCUGGAGACGAAGCUAAUUUGAUUAAUCAGAUGGUGUCCGAUCGGAGUAAACCGGUGGCUACGGAUAUAGGACAUCUAGGGCUACAUUCUUACUGGAGGGAUUGAAAAGUUAACGAUUUUCGGAGUUGCUGUGAUAGAGCCAUCAAGGGCUAUUCUGUGCUUCUCAGGUUCUUUAGAACCCGUGGCAAAGAUGAGACUGACGAGCAGGAGUGAUUGCUAUUGGGCUGGUGCUUUGGGAGUUUUAUCUCUUUAAUUUUUCAGACUUGCGGUUUUUAUGAUUUUGUCGAUAUUUUUAGGUUUUAUUAUAU